UUCAAUGCUAUAAAUAUUGCCUUAAUUAAAGCGGGUAAGGAAGCUUUUAUAUUUAAUGAAAUGGAGAAGAAGCUUAUUAAGGGGUUUAUGGAAUUCUUGGCAAUUUUUGAAAAAGCCACCACAUAUUUACAAGGCCGAAGUUAUCCAACAAUUUGCAGUGCAAUAUUUUUUUACGAAAAUAUUUUAAGCCAGCUCGAAAAUAAUGAAAGCGUGGCUGAAUUUGGAAUAAUGAUUUCGUUAUACAACUUUACGAAAGAAAACUUUAACAAACGUUUUAAAAUAAAAAAAAUUCAUGUUGUCGCCGCGUUGCUGGAUCCGUGCCAACGUAACUGGCCAAUUUUGGACAAUUGGUUAAAAAAAAUUCCAAAGAACAGCCAAAUGGAUUUAAACCAAGUUUUAGAUGUUGAGUACACCGAAGGCCUCUAUAUCACAAAAGAAGAUUUAAUUUAUAAAGAAUUAUUAAAAAUAUUAAAUGACAAUCCCCCAGCUCCCGUUGAGCAUAUUGUUGAACAACCCGGACCUUCAAAAAAAAAAACCGAAGAUAUCCCAACUUCGAAAGGAAAUGUUAGAUUUUGUGGCAUCAACCAGCACGCAAACAACAAGCCAUUCCAACAUCUCACGGGAAAUAAAAACAUACUUUGAUGCACCACAGGAAGAUUUGGAAUGUUUAGAAUGGUGGAAAAAAAAUGAAGAGUAUUAUCCCAACUUAUCCAAAUUGGCUAAUUUUUGUUUUGGGAUUCCUGCCACUUCCGCAUCAUCAGAGGAAGCAUUUUCUGUAGCUGGGGCAUGUAUAACCGCCAAGAGAAGCCGACUAAAUCCCUUUACCGUAAAGAGACAACUAUUUGUGCACGAUAACAACCAUUUGGUAGAGCCAAUACUAAAUAUUAAGUAAUUUUCCUAUUAAAAUCCAGAC